rnacentral:rRNA from 1 species
GAUGAACGCUAGCUGCAGGCUUAACACAUGCAAGUCGAGGGGAAACGAUAUCGGAAGCUUGCUUCCGAUAGGCGUCGACCGGCGCACGGGUGAGUAACGCGUAUCCAACCUGCCCACCACUUGGGGAUAACCUUGCGAAAGUAAGACUAAUACCCAAUGAUAUCUCUAGAAGACAUCUGAAAGAGAUUAAAGAUUCAUCGGUGAUGGAUGGGGAUGCGUCUGAUUAGCUUGUUGGCGGGGUAACGGCCCACCAAGGCAACGAUCAGUAGGGGUUCUGAGAGGAAGGUCCCCCCACAUUGGAACUGAGACACGGUCCAAACUCCUACGGGAGGCAGCAGUGAGGAAUAUUGGUCAAUGGGCGAGAGCCUGAACCAGCCAAGUAGCGUGCAGGACGACGGCCCUAUGGGUUGUAAACUGCUUUUAUAAGGGAUAAAGUGAGUCUCGUGAGACUUUUUGCAUGUACCUUAUGAAUAAGGACCGGCUAAUUCCGU